rfam:Salmo salar isolate Sally breed double haploid chromosome ssa11, whole genome shotgun sequence.
GAUGAUGUGGCUCAGUUGGUAGAGCAUGGCACUUGCAAUGCUUGGGUUGUGGGUUUGAUUCCCACUCACUA